GAUGAACGCUGGCGGCGUGCCUAAUACAUGCAAGUCGAGCGAACGGACGAGAAGCUUGCUUCUCUGAUGUUAGCGGCGGACGGGUGAGUAACACGUGGAUAACCUACCUAUAAGACUGGGAUAACUUCGGGAAACCGGAGCUAAUACCGGAUAAUAUUUUGAACCGCAUGGUUCAAAAGUGAAAGACGGUCUUGCUGUCACUUAUAGAUGGAUCCGCGCUGCAUUAGCUAGUUGGUAAGGUAACGGCUUACCAAGGCAACGAUGCAUAGCCGACCUGAGAGGGUGAUCGGCCACACUGGAACUGAGACACGGUCCAGACUCCUACGGGAGGCAGCAGUAGGGAAUCUGACGCAAUGGGCGAAAGCCUGACGGAGCAACGGCGCGUGAGUGAUGGAGGUCUUCGGAUCGUAAAACUCUGUUAUUAGGGAAGAACAUAUGUGUAAGUAACUGUGCACAUCUUGACGGUACCUAAUCAGAAAGCCACGGCUAACUACGUG
rnacentral:rRNA from 1 species